UACGGAGGGAGCUAGCGUUGUUCGGAAUUACUGGGCGUAAAGCGCACGUAGGCGGCUUUGUAAGUUAGAGGUGAAAGCCUGGAGCUCAACUCCAGAAUUGCCUUUAAGACUGCAUCGCUUGAAUCCAGGAGAGGUGAGUGGAAUUCCGAGUGUAGAGGUGAAAUUCGUAGAUAUUCGGAAGAACACCAGUGGCGAAGGCGGCUCACUGGACUGGUAUUGACGCUGAGGUGGCGAAAAGCGUGGGGAGCAAACAGG
rnacentral:rRNA from 1 species